rnacentral:lncRNA from 1 species
CAAAUUGUAUAAGAUAUCCCCUACUUUGAUCAUCAGAUUUAACUUCCAGAACCCAUGUAUCACAUUGCCACUUCCCUGCUCAAUAAAAUGUCGAAGGCUUUCAAUGUCAAAAAGCUAAAGCCAAAAUUAUUUAAUCUUCAUGUAAGACUUCAUAUCCUGGUUUAAGUUUCUUUUUUUAAUUAAAAUUUUAAUUUUGAGAUGAUAUAGAUUUUCAUGCAGUUGUAAGAAAUAAUACAGUGAAAUAAUUCCAUGUACCCUUUAUCAUUUUCCCCAAUGGUUACAUCUUGCAAAAUUCUGGAGCAAUAUCACAACCAGAGUAUUGACAUUGAUACAGUCUAGAUACAGAAUAUUUCCACCACCACUGAGGACCCCACAUGUUGCUUUCUUUGUGUGUGCGUCUUUUUUUUAGGGCGGCUGCACCCGUGGUGUAUGGAGGUUUCCCAGCUAUAGCUCCGAUUCGACCUCCAUAUGCCACGGGUACGGCCCUAAAAAGCAAUAAUACUAAUACUGAUACUAAUACUAAUCCUAAUAGUAAUAAUAACAACAUCUUAGAGCAAAAUGCAAACUCUGUAGCCUGGCUUGUAUAACUGACCAACUUUAUUUCUCCAUAUCCUUCUAAUCCUCUCUCCUGGCUUUUCUGUUUCAUGAGCAACCACACUGGUCCUGCAUGAGAGCUCUCUCAUUUGUUUGAGACCAUCUUUGAAAUCUCAGAAAAGGAGUCUCACCACUUCAGUUAGACCACCCUGAUGAUGCUAAGGUACCCACCCUCCAUCUCUGUCUCUCUCCAAGCCCUGACCUCCUUGUCCGGGGCUGCCUUGGGGCUGUGUGGUUUGGGCUGGGCAUUGCUGAUGGCUCCAGGCCAUGAGGGUGGGAGGUAGGGAGCUGAAUCCACAGAUUCUUCCCUAGUGCUAGAUGAGCCUCCUCUCUGUGUUAAUAAAAGCAACUAUUGAGUAGACAAGCCUCUCAUCGUGGAGGGAGGGGUACUUUUCUUCUUGACUUUGUCCACCCAGAGGAGGCAGCUUUUUCUAAUUCAUACGACAUCAUGAGAGCUGGUACAUGUUAUCAAAUAUUUUCUUGUUUGGUGUGCUUAUCUAUUUGUCUGCUCACCUUUUACUCAUCUAUCAUCUACUUUCACACAUUGGAGUGUAAAUUCCUUGAGGAUAAUGACCUGACUGUAUCUCUUUCACUUCUAGAAUCCCAGAUUUUAGAAUAUUGCAUGGCGCAUAUUUGUUGGUCAAUAGCUAUUUAUUGGAUUAGUAAAUAGGAAAAUAUCUCUACUCAUAAUUUAAAACAAUAUUAGAUGAAAUUACAUGCUGUGAAUUUCUCAACAUGGAGAUCAUUCUUGUCAAAUGGACCUAACUCCCGUCCCCCCAGAUGCCCUGUGUGUUUUGAACAAUUCUUUAUUCUUUUGAUUUGCUCUGACAGUAAUGUUCUUUUCUGCCCCCUAGCUUUGCUUGAAGAAGUCCUAUCUUCCCUGAAUGAAUAUUGCAUUUUCUAAAUAAGCUUCUUCACUUUUCCACUCAGAAUUCUCCCUCUGUCUCCCAUUAUUACCAGGAAGGUUGUUCACUGUUUGGGAAGUUUGGAGCAAAAAAAAAAAAAAAAAAAA